GUUUGCACUCAUCGGGGAAGGGUGAGAACAUUCGACUAAGGUUCGAUUCGAGCGAAAGCGAGAGAACGUUGCCACAGGCAACGGCCCGAAGGGUGAGGAGCGAAGCGACGAAUAAUCCUUCCCCCACCACCA
rnacentral:sRNA from 1 species